rnacentral:rRNA from 1 species
UACGUAGGGUGCGAGCGUUUGUCCGGAAUUAUUGGGCGUAAAGAGCUUGUAGGCGGUUUGUCGCGUCUGCUGUGAAAAUCCGGGGCUCAACCCCGGACUUGCAGUGGGUACGGGGCAGACUAGAGUGUGGUAGGGGGAGACUGGAAUUCCUGGUGUAGCGGUGAAAUGCGCAGAUAUCAGGAGGAACACCGAUGGCGAAGGCAGGUCUCUGGGCCACUACUGACGUGAGAAGCGAAAGCAUGGGGGAGCGAACAGG